rnacentral:lncRNA from 9 species
CUUGGAUCUGAUCCCUGGCCCAGGUCACCCAGCUAGAAAUUAACUAACCUGGGCUUUGAACAAAUGCUGCAUUGUCUAUGAAACCAAACAAAUGGGAGCUGAAAACACGCCCAUUGUUUUGUUUCUUCCACAAUCUUUGAAACUUCUUUAGCAUUUCUCCAAGAUCUCCUGGGCCUCACCCAAGAGGGAGACUGUCACUUGACUAUCUGAUGAAGGGGAUGGAAGUGGCAAUUCUACCCUACGUUGCAUCUUUUGUGUUUGCCAGGGAAGGUAUUGAACAAGUGGGAAGGAGAUGCGGCAAGAUGAGGGUGAAGAAAGGGGCCCGGUUUGUCAGGACAGCCUCAGGCCGUGGACCUACCCCAAUCCAGUCUCUUCUAAAUAGGAACUCCCCUUGUUUUCUUUUAGGAGCAGCAGUCCUUUGAUGUUCGGACUGCCAGGUCUUUCGUUGCAAAAACUGAUUUCCC